ACCCUGAGUGCAGAAUCUUGGU
rnacentral:miRNA from 1 species